UACGUAGGGUGCGAGCGUUAUCCGGAAUUACUGGGCGUAAAGAGCUCGUAGGCGGUUAGGUAAGUCGCAUGUUAAAUACCCGGGCUCAACUCGGGGAAUGCGUGCGAUACUGCCUGACUAGAGGACGGGAGAGGGAAGUGGAAUUCCUGGUGUAGCGGUGAAAUGCAUAGAUAUCAGGAAGAAUACCAGUGGCGAAGGCGGCUUCCUGGACCGUUUCUGACGCUGAGGAGCGAAAGCUAGGGGAGCGAACGGGAUUAGAUACCCCCGUA
rnacentral:rRNA from 1 species